UCAACCCUACUAAACAUAGGGUCAGCUCUUGAAACAUCCAAGCUAUUGUACGGAUUUGGCUUCACUAGUAUUAACCACGAUAGAUACAAUACGGUAGCGCGACUUAUGAGAAAGGCCUUUCAGCCAUCUUGGAUUUUGAUGUAAACAAUCUGCAAUAUUUUGCAGUAUCUUUUUUUGCUCUUUGUGUGUGGAAUUGUUUUGGUGGGAAUAAGAGCAUUGGAAAGUUGAAAGCUCAAGAGGUCGGUGAUGGAGAUAUUUUUCCCGCGUUUUGCGGUUAGAGACGUCGGUUAAUUGUUCGAUUGGCAUAAAAAGAUGAUAUAUCAGGAUUUCUAGGACCUUCCUGCGACUUGUUUUAUCGUCGAUAUUGUUCAGCUCAUAUAUUAUAGAAAAAAAAACCCGAAGCUGUAACUGUAAAAAUAACCAUAAGCCACCGAUUAAUUUAUAAUUUACAGUUUACAAUUCUUCCGCAAGUGCAAUUAUUUCACAAGUGUGUAUAUGUGUGACCAUUAUAUUUAGUGAACAACUAUACGAAUGUCAAACAUUUGUACUUUACUUUUGCACGUAUGAAUCU